rnacentral:rRNA from 1 species
UACAGAGGUCUCAAGCGUUGUUCGGAUUCAUUGGGCGUAAAGGGUGCGUAGGCGGCGCGGUAAGUCGGGUGUGAAAUCUUGGAGCUUAACUCCGAAACUGCAUUCGAUACUGCCGUGCUUGAGGACUGGAGAGGAGACUGGAAUUUACGGUGUAGCAGUGAAAUGCGUAGAUAUCGUAAGGAAGACCAGUGGCGAAGGCGAGUCUCUGGACAGUAACUGACGCUGAGGAGCGAAAGCGUGGGGAGCGAACAGG